rnacentral:rRNA from 1 species
CCUACGGGUGGCAGCAGUGAGGAAUAUUGGUCAAUGGACGCAAGUCUGAACCAGCGAUGCCGCGUGCAGGAUGACGGCUCUAUGAGUUGUAAACUGCUUUUGUACGAGGGUAAACCCCGAUACGUGUAUCGGGUUGAAAGUAUCGUACGACUAAUGAUCGGCUAAAUCCGUGCCAGCAGCCGCGGUAAUACGGGGGAUACGAGCGUUAUCCGGAUUGAUUGGGUUAAAAGGGUGCGUAGGCGGUUUGAUAAGUUAGGGGUGACAUGUCGGGGCUCAACCCCGAAACUGCCUCAAAUACUGUUGGACUAGAGAAUAGUUGCGGUAGGCGGAAUGUAUGGUGUAGCGGUGAAAUGCUUAGAGAUCAUACAGAACACCGAUUGCGAAGGCAGCUUACCAAACUAUAUCUGACGUUGGCACGAAAGCGUGGGUAGCAAACAGGAUUAGAUACCCGUGUAGUC